CAACCCUCAGGCUCCGCCUGGCGUUGGGGACCUGCACCUGCAGCCCUCAAAGACAGCGGCGGUCCCGUCGCGGCACCGAGCGUAGUAACAACCUCGUUACGGGCGUCCGCGCGGCGGCCUGCCGGAAAACCCCAUCUUUUCGU
rnacentral:misc_RNA from 1 species